AGCAGCCACUCAUUAAAAGAGUGCGUAAUAGCUCACUGGUCGAGUGACUCUGCGCCGAAAAUUUAACGGGGCUAAACUAUACACCGAAGCUUGGGAUACAUCUAAUGUAUGGUAGGAGAGCGUUCUGUAUGGGGUGAAGUCGUAGCGAAAGCGGCGGUGGACUGUACAGAAGUGAGAAUGCCGGAAUAAGUAGCGAGAAUUAAGUGAGAAUCUUAAUGGCCGAAAGUCUAAGGUUUUUGGAGGAAGGUUCGUCCGCUCCAAGUAAGUCGGGAGCUAAGGUCAGGCCGAAAGGCGUAGCCGAUGCACAUACGGUUGAUAUUCCGUAACCAUCUGUAAUUUAAGCAAAGGGACACUUCAAAAGGGUGUGACCCGGGCGUUGGUUGACCCGGGCGUAAGGGACCGAAAUUAGAGUAGGGAAGCACACUUGGCUGAAGGCGAGAAAAGCUUUGCGUAUAGAAGCAGAUGCCCGUACCGCAAACCGACACAGGUGGACAGGAAGAGAAUUCUAAGGCCAGCGGGAGAAGGGUAGUUAAGGAACUCGGCAAAUUGACUCCGUAACUUCGGAAUAAGGAGUGCUCGAAAGAGCCGCAGAGAAUAGGCCCAGGCGACUGUUUAGCAAAAACACAGGUCUCUGCCAAAUCGAAAGAUGAAGUAUAGGGGCUGACACCUGCCCGGUGCCGGAAGGUUAAGAGGAGGAGUGAGAGCUCCGAAUUGAAGCCCCGGUAAACGGCGGCCGUAACUAUAACGGUCCUAAGGUAGCGAAAUUCCUUGUCGGGUAAGUUCCGACCCGCACGAAUGGUGUAACGAUCUGGGCACUGUCUCAACUACCCACCCGGCGAAAUUGUAGUACCGGUGAAGAUGCCGGUUACCUGCGGCAAGACGGAAAGACCCCAUGGAGCUUUACUGUAGCCUGAUAUUGGGUUUCGGAAAUCUAUGUACAGGAUAGGCGGGAGACUGGGAAACAUGAGCGUCAGCUUGUGUGGAGUCGAUGUUGGGAUACCGCCCUUAGGUUUCUGGAAUUCUAACCUGCGGCCGUGAAUCCGGUCGGGGGACAUUGUCAGGUGGGCAGUUUGACUGGGGCGGUCGCCUCCGAAAAGGUAACGGAGGCGCUCAAAGGUUAGCUCAGCACGGACGGAAACCGUGCCUCUGAGUGUAAACGCAAAAGCUAGCCUAACUGCGAGGGUGACGGCCCGAGCAGUAACGAAAGUUGGAGUUAGUGAUCCGGCGGUAUGUGAAUGGAAAUGCCGUCGCUCAACGGAUAAAAGCUACCCUGGGGAUAACAGGCUGAUCUCCCCCAAGAGUCCACAUCGACGGGGAGGUUUGGCACCUCGAUGUCGGCUCAUCACAUCCUGGGGCUGUAUUCGGUCCCAAGGGUUCGGCUGUUCGCCGAUUAAAGUGGUACGCGAGCUGGGUUCAGAACGUCGCGAGACAGUUCGGUCCCUAUCUGUCGUGGGCGCAGGAUAUUUGAGGAGCUCUGUCCUUAGUACGAGAGGACCGGGAUGGACGUACCUCUGGUGCACCAGUUGUCAUGCCAAUGGCACGGCUGGGCAGCUAUGUACGGAACGGAUAAACGCUGAAAGCAUCUAAGCGUGAAGCCGACUCCAAGAUUAGAUAUCCCAUCGUAUAACGAGUAAGACCCCUUGAAGACUACGAGGUUGAUAGGCUGCGUGUGUAAGUGCCGUGAGGCAUUCAGCUUGGCAGUACUAAUAGGUCGAGGGCUUGACCAC
rnacentral:rRNA from 1 species